GUGGUAAAUUUCUACCGCUUUGUUUUUAUUGAAGACCCAGAAGAGGAGGUCAGCAAACACCUUUCCUUUUUGGAGGGAAGAGAUAUCCAUGGUCGCAUUUAUUUGAACAAACAGGGAAUUAAUGCACAGUACAGUGGACCAAACAAAGAUGCCCUUGCUUAUGUUAAGUGGGUAAGGGAGGACUGCAGAUUUUCUGAUGUUCUUGUCCAGAUCUCACCAUCAUCUAAUGCGCA
rnacentral:misc_RNA from 1 species